UGGUUGUGCUUAUCUGCCUCCCUGUUUCGAUCACUUGUAAACAUCCAAGUAUUCUACAGUUCUUGUAUAUGAUGUUUUCUAUGUUUCCUGAUAAGGAAUUUGUAUUGGAAAAACUUUUAUACCCUGCAACAAAGUAGGUAAGUCUUCUCUUCUAGUAAUUGAGAGCUUGCAGCUUCAACAAUCUCAAAGCCCAUCUUUUCGUACAGUUCCUGUGCAGGUGUGUUGUUUCUAUGCACAUGCACAUACACAUGUUCUACACCGUUAGAUUUGGCUGAUUCA
rnacentral:misc_RNA from 1 species